rnacentral:rRNA from 1 species
GAGGUUAAGCGACUAAGCGUACACGGUGGAUGCCCUGGCAGUCAGAGGCGAUGAAGGACGUGCUAAUCUGCGAUAAGCGCCGGUAAGGUGAUAUGAACCGUUAUAACCGGCGAUUUCCGAAUGGGGAAACCCAGUGUGACUCGUCACACUAUCAUUAACUGAAUCCAUAGGUUAAUGAGGCGAACCGGGGGAACUGAAACAUCUAAGUACCCCGAGGAAAAGAAAUCAACCGAGAUUCCCCCAGUAGCGGCGAGCGAACGGGGAGGAGCCCAGAGCCUGAAUCAGCAUGUGUGUUAGUGGAAGCGUCUGGAAAGGCGCGCGAUACAGGGUGACAGCCCCGUACACAAAAGCGCAUGUGCUGUGAGCUCGAUGAGUAGGGCGGGACACGUGGUAUCCUGUCUGAAUAUGGGGGGACCAUCCUCCAAGGCUAAAUACUCCUGACUGACCGAUAGUGAACCAGUACCGUGAGGGAAAGGCGAAAAGAACCCCGGCGAGGGGAGUGAAAAAGAACCUGAAACCGUGUACGUACAAGCAGUGGGAGCACCCUUUGGGGUGUGACUGCGUACCUUUUGUAUAAUGGGUCAGCGACUUAUAUUCUGUAGCAAGGUUAACCGAAUAGGGGAGCCGGAGGGAA